ACACCUCAACUCCUCAUGGUUUGCCAUGAUGAGCUUGGACCUUGGGGGUAUUGCUGGCCCUGUGGUUGGCUCCUCUCAAAUGGAUCAGCUUGCCAGUGUUUGGUGGCAUCACAGGUGUGAUAAAUAUCUACGCUUGUGGUUUUCCACCAUGUAACCUUCAGCGAUGAAGGUGCGCUGGAGCUCACAAAUGUCCCUCCUCAGCGAGGACAGCUUUUGAAC
rnacentral:misc_RNA from 1 species